rnacentral:lncRNA from 1 species
GAUGCCCAAGGCUCUGUCUCCACUCUGGGGAAGUUGCUGAGAUGAGCCUCCCAAAGUGAAAAGUGACAGGUGUCAUAGACAAGGCAGUUGAGCAAGGAUUUGCAUGGAGCCAUUUGCAUUUUCUCACCAAGUCCCCUUUGCUAUCGAUUGAUUCAUUUCAACAUACAUUUGUAGCUGGCUGUUAAAUGCUCUCCCUCCAGAGGAUGUGGUCAGGCCGGAAGGGAAUUGCUGGUGGUCCUGACUACCCCCACCCCUCCCAACUCUUAGAAAAUGACAAGGCCGCCUCGGGCAGGACCCUCAAAAUCCCCCAGAAUUCCUGAGGCCUUUGGAUGCAAAGAAUGAGGGAUGCUUGCACGUCAAACAACACAGCCCCCUCUCCGAGAAGCUGGAGGAGUUCCAGGAGUCUUCCCGCCUUAGCCGGGGGAUGGGGGAGCUCAACUCUGUGGCACUCUGUUCAAGUUUGUUGCUUUGGGUGACAGAUCUUGAACUCGGUUUUGAAAAUUGUUUGGUUAAAACAUUGCAAGCUGGGAACCCUGCCAGGUCCUCUUCUCUCUCGAGUGGAAUUAGAAUAAGGCAGCCUGCCCCGACCCGUUCCAAGGGUACUGAUCCUCAAGUUUUAUAAAGCAGCGUCGCUCAAGCCCAGCCCUAUCCAGAAGUGGACCAUGUGGUGACGUCCCAGGGACCCUGGGAAGAUGCUCCCAUCCCCAAAUCUAUCUGCAUUAGCCUGUCCCACCGUGCCCAAACCCACAGCCUUGUAGGGCUUUCCUUGAGCUUUAUAGUCAGUUCUGAGUGGGA